rnacentral:rRNA from 1 species
CCUACGGGUGGCAGCAGUGGGGAAUAUUGGUCAAUGGGCGCAAGCCUGACCCAGCAAUGCCGCGUGAAGGAAGAAGGCUUUCGGGUUGUAAACUUCUUUGACAGGGGGAGAGCAGAAGACGGUACCCUGAAAGCAAGCCACGGCUAACUACGGGCCACCAGCCGCGGUAAUACGUAGGUGGCAAGCGUUGUCCCGAUUUCCUGGGUGUAAAGGGCGUGUAGCCGGGAAGGCAAGUCAGAUGUGAAAUCUGGAGGCUCAACCUCCAAAUUGCAGUUGAAACUGUUUGUCUUGAGUACGGGAGAGGCAGACGGAAUGCCUUGUGUAGCGGUGAAAUGCGUAGAUAUAAGGAGGAACACCAGUGGCGAAGGCGGUAUGCUGGACAGAAACUGACGGUGAGGCGCGAAAGCGUGGGGAGCAAACAGGAUUAGAUACCCUUGUAGUC